rnacentral:lncRNA from 1 species
UCAUUAUCAAAUAAUUGACAAUUUAUCGCCCUUUGUAUCAACACGCCAUUUUUAAACAUGAAAGGUCGUGUGAAAGGAAAUUUUUAAACAGUAAUUUGACGAUUGAUUUAAAAGGGAUAAUGAAUGUCAUUGAGCGAUUUACUGAUCAACUAUUGAUGAACUACUGAGAAACAUCUGGCAUAUUGCUAUGACCUUAAACAAAAAAAGGAAUUCUCAAGGCAUGCCUACAUACCACAUGUUGGAAGAGUUUGUGGAAUGGCUGAAGGAAGAAAGAAUUUCCAGCCAGAAAAAUAAAAUUCUUUAUGAAUUUGUGAAUGGAAAUGAAACCCAAGGAACUAAUAUAUUUGCUUACCAUCCAGUUGAAAGUAUGCCAAUGGAAUAAAGUGCAACUGUCAAAGAAGUGCACAAAAUAAGGUCAUGUUUUCUGCAAAAGUUCACCAAGCUGAUUCAAACUACAAAUGGGAGUCAAGAAAAAAGUAAAACUAACUGAACUGCCACAGUUCAACUGUGAGAAAUGUUUGGUAAAAGUAUGUUUUGUUGUCAGAACAGCAGUAAAGUGGUUAGAGUAAAACUGUCUUCAUUGUUUAAGCAAUACAGAUUUUUUUUAAAAAACAUACUCCAUGCAUAAUAUAUCUUGAGUGUUCAUUUUUAUUUAAAUAAUCAUACAGUUUCAAGAAAUUUGACAAUAAAUGCUAUCUUUAAUUUUAUAAGAAAAUAGUGCAUUGUUGCCAUGGUAUUAAACAUUAAUCUGACAAUAAAUUAUUGUAAAACAUCUUUCAUGUUUAUAUGUUCUAUUUGUUAAAAAAUAUAAUGUAAGGUCAUAUUCUUAUCUAAGUAAUAACUGCAUCAACAAAACAUUAAGUUAUCUUUGAAUCUGCCUUAAACUAGCAAGAGUUGUGUCGUGUGUAUCAGAAAAUUAUGUAUAUCCCAAACAGUGUCACAUCAAUUUACAUGAAAUGAGGUUUUCUUACUUUUGAAUAUGAAAUUAGACAGCUUUUAAUGUAUAUAUUAUUUUGAAAAACACUUUAACAUAUUCAAUUAUUUCAAGAACUUGAUAGAAAUGGUACUUUUGGUAAGAAAAUACAUCAUGGUUGCUAUGGUAACGAGUCACUGAUCAGUGUGACAUCUGUACUACUACUUUAAGCAAAAUCAGUUUUAAUAUUUCUAAUAAUUAUAUCUUUUUGCCUGAUUUUCUGUCUAACAGUUACAAAGAAAUAUGUCAAUGUGUCAAGUGUUCUAACAACAAGGUUAAUUUGUCAUAGUUUUGUCAUGUUAUCUAACCCGUAAUCCAGUAAAUCUAUUUUUGUACAAAAGAAAGCCAUAUUAAGAUUUUUGCAAAAAAAAACAACUGUUAUCUUUAAACUCUGUCUGUACGCUGAAAAAUGUUGACGGUAUAUUAACUUCACUUUCUUGAUGUAAAUUUUGGCUGGAUUUAUCAAGGAACUAUUCAAAUUGGAUUUAACAACUGUGUUGCCAUGGAAACGAUUUUAAGGGGAAAAUAAUAUGUGCUUAUAUAAAAAAAUGAAACAGAAAGAAAUAAAUUUAAUUAACUGUA